UGUCGUGAGAUGUUGGGUUAAGUCCCGCAACGAGCGCAACCCCUACUCUUAGUUGCCAUCAGGUUAUGCUGGGCACUCUAAGAGGACUGCCGAGGACAACUCGGAGGAAGGUGGGGAUGACGUCAAGUCAGUAUGUCCCUUACGUCCAGGGCUACACACGUGUUACAAUGGCCGGCACAACGGGUUGCUAUACCGCAAGGUGGAGCCAAUCCCUUAAAACCGGUCUCAGUACGGAUUGGAGUCUGCAACUCGACUCCAUGAAGCCGGAAUCGCUAGUAAUCGCGGAUCAGAACGCCGCGGUGAAUACGUUCCCGGGCCUUGUACACACCGCCCGUCACGCCAUGGAAGUCGGUAGCACCCGAAGUCGUUAGCCUAACCCCGAGCAAUCGGGGGAGGAGGCGCCGAAGGUGAGACUGAUGACUGGGGCGAAGUCGUAACAAGGUAGCCGUACCGGAAGGUGCGGCUGGAUCACCUCCUUUCUAAGGAGA
rnacentral:rRNA from 1 species